CAGCCCCUUGCAUAACUUGCCUUGCUGGAGGCACUCCGUGCUUAUUCGGAACGAAGCUGGGCGUUGGCCAGCUGUUGGCUACAACAACACUGCAGCCCUAACAGAAUUUGCUUUCAGCAUUAUGAUCGCUGGAGCCCUGAUUGAUGGAAUAUGAUUUCAAAGGUAACUGAGCCAAAACUGUCUGUUGCAAAGUAUAAAUUAGUUUAUUUACAUGAUAUCCUUCAAUCCCUUAAGAUGUCAUAAAGCUGUCUUGAAUUUUUUUCUCAUUAUUUAAGAAAUAUUGUAUUUUCCAGUGAUGAUGUUACAACUACAAAAAGAAAAAAAAAAAAUCUGCAAGGUAUAGGAAAAACAUGGCAGCAGUUUCCCACAGGCCAUUACUGUCUUUUACAUGUAUUAUAGAUAAUGUAUUUUAUGGAAUCUGUUAUUAUCCAGGUAAUAUACAGUCUUCUGCAGCGCAAUGUGCCCUACAUUUGAUAAGAUCAUAAACGUUAGAGAUACACUUAGUGAUCCAAAAGUUGUGGCUUAUUUGCCAAAAAGAAGCAUAGCCUUUGACUCAGGUUGUAUCAAAUAUCAAACUUUCAGCCAAAAAGCGUAUCGACUCUAGAGGGGCCUGUGUUCAGGAAUUUCGAUAUCCUGCCAUGCUGCCUCAUGGCUGCCUGUUUAGAUUUAUGUCGCCUAAGAAAGAUGCAUCUGGUGAGCAACCGGUUUUAUAUUUCAAAAGCUCAACUGAACAUAAUGCUAAAAUUGCUUUUGUGACAGUGGCAGAAGGUCUAAAAAAUAGCCACAGAUACUCUUUGUGACUAUGGAGCAACCUUAAAAUGAUGACUAGAAUUUUCAGGUUUUGCUGAACCCUGCCAUUUCACUCUUUGUACAAAUGCUCACAGCAAUUUUUUUAACAACUGCAUUUUGAUUUGGAAAAUUGUUUUCUUUUGGUCUGAAAUGUAAACUUUAAACUCUUUAAAUUUGGUCUCUGCUGCAGCAUCUCUGUUGCAGCUGUUUUUAAAAUACCAGCACUCCAAUUACAUUCCAUUGAUCCACUUGCUGUGUGAAGAAGCAGUGCAGGGUUCUUGAAGCUUCAGCAUAACAGCAUAUAAUAGUCCAUCCAUCUGUACUUGAAUGUAUAUAUUUAUUUUGUAUGUUUUUUAAUUUUUCAAGUGCUUUGGAUCUUUUAGCAUGUAAACCAUUAAUACUAUCAACAUUACUGUAAAUUGCACACUAUUAUUACAGUAGUAAUGAUUUUAUCCCGAUGAAAAGAUUUAUAAGAGUUAAUUCUUGUCCUUUCUCCUUCUUCCCCAAAGCUUGCAGAGUUCUUGCAAGGAUAAGCUUUAGCUAUUAUAUACAUACACAUACCUGCCUGCAGCUCUUUUGGUGUUUUACUUUUGACUAGUAUUUGUACGGUAAUUCUAUAUUCACUCAUGUACAGUUCUCCCAUUGUUCCAGUAGAUGGAGCUUUGUGAUUGAGGCUGCAAAAGAAACUUGACUAAAAUUACAAAAUAAUCACAACAGGAUGGGAAGGGGAGGAGGUGGAGGAGGUCUUAGUGUACUUUGCUUAGAGGUAUCAGUGUCCUGUAUACAUGCUUUGAUACGCAAAAAUCAGUAUCAAGACCCUCAUUCACAAUGAAAAUUACUUGAAAAAUUGAUUCUGUCAAAUGGAACACUGCUCUAAUCUGCUGUUAUCAGAGUCAUGUUUUAAAUCUAAAAUACCUUAGGUUAUAAAUUAAAUGUCAAAUAUAAUUAAUUUGGCACUUGAAACAUGAAGUGGAUGACUGUCCUUUGGAGAAAGCCUGACAGCUUUAUGUUAUGUCACAUUGGUAACUGUUAAAAUGAGCUUUACAUGCCAGACAAUCUUAAGAGCAAGAUGACACACAGCUGCACCAUGAUUUUUUCAAUGUAACUGUAAGUCCCAAGAUAGUUUUUUCUUAAUUGUCUGAAGCUUUGAAAAAAUAACAAAACCAGACAAUGUUUCUCUAAUCAGUUGAUCUGUGCUAAAUGUUACUGGUUUUAUUAUAAAUCAGAUAUACUGUGCAUUGCACACUAGAGAAGGUAUUGCAGAAGAAUAUAUUUAUAUUGUGCAUUUCACACAAAUGGGGAAAAUGUUCUGACCUACACCCAGCUCCACUGCAGUUACAGCUGGGGCUCCCCCCCCCCCCCCCACUUUUAUGAAUGCAUCAGUGAUGGUCAAGGCACACACACUUUUCCUCUGCAUGAGAGUUCAGGUGGUAGAUAUACAUAAUCCAAGAUCACCUGGCUCCACUCCUUCUCCAGCCUACCUCCUUUCUAUGCUCUCAGACAACGAACCCAUUGCAGAACACAGGUGAACUAGUUCCCUUUGCUUAUUUAUGUAUUUUUUUCAUGUAUAUAUUCAUGUAUUUAUUUACAUCAUUCCUUUUUUGUACAAUGGAAUUGGUCUGCCUAUUCAGUCUUAUGUGUCCGUGGGGAAAUGGAAGGAGCAGGAUUUGCUCUGUAGAUGCUUAUGCUAUUUGUUACAUUAUUUUAACAACUACAACAACUAUUUUGUUAUUACUUGCCACUGAUGCACUGUAAUCUUUCUAAUCCAGACUGUAUAAAUAACAAAGAUCAGCAGCUUCUCUCCAUAUCUGAGCAAAGAGUUAAUAUUUGGGUGUUGCAGCAAGGGGUCAUUGCUCAAGUCUCAUUUUUUUUUUUUACCUGAGUAAGUGUGUUCAAUUGGGUCUUCUGCCUGAUUCAGAGAAGAUAAAAGUAUCUUGUUAGCAGCUAAUAGAGCUACUCCUUCCAUUUCAAAAGUGAAACAAGGGUGACACUUAUUUCAGGUGGCAGAGUUCUGUGUGAUGGAUCCAACAGGUUCACCCUGCUGAUAACCCACAUGGUUGUCAGUCUGAGGCCACUGUAUUUUUUUCAGUUUUAUUUUGUUGGAAGUCUACAAAAAUACACACAAAACAUGCAAACAUACAGAGCCAAAAUGAAGGCCAUGUAUGCAACCUUCAGUUGGCCUCUUAUACCUAUGAAUUAUGAGAUUCAGUCCUUACUUACAAAAUCACAUUAUGCAUGAGAUCCUAAAUCUUUGUUUAAAGUCAUUAAAAUGUGGGGAUGCACAAGAAAUGCAUAUGUGUUCUGAAGGAUAAUCUUCCUGUGUGACUUUCAGGCUUGCUCUUUUCAACACUGGUGGCACAGGUGUCUUCAUAACCAGCCUGCUAUUGGUCCUCCUGCUAUACAUGUGCUUUCCUAUUUCCUCUGCAGAGGGUGUAAAUAAAAUCUGGAAGAAUCAGCCAGUACUGCCUUUGGAUGUUUCCAAAAUUGUGUCUUUGAUGAUCAUGACAUCAGGACCCAAACAAAACUUCCCAUCUACCAGGCCGUUGUCAUCCCUACCCUGUUGUAUGCGUGUGAAAGUUGCAUGAUAUAUUAGAAACACCUGAAAGCUUUGAAAUGUUACCAUCAGUGAUGUCUUUAGAAAAUCCUCAAGAUCAGUUGAAAGGACAGAAGAACAAAUGCCAGCAUUCUGCCUCUAGCAAAUGCCACUAGCAUGUAAGCCAUAUUUAUAUAGUACCCCCUGCAUUGGACAGGAUGUGUCCUAAAGUUGCUUGACAAUCAGCUCCCAAAACAGGUUCUAUACUCCCAGUUCACCAGGGGCCACUGCUUUAGAAGUGGACAAAAGAAGAGAUCCAAGGACAUCUUGAAAGCCCAUCUGAAGAAAUGCGAUAUUAAGAUCAGUACCUAAGAGACUCAAGCACUGAAUUAUCGUCAGUGGCUUCAUGAUAUAUGAUGAGGCAUCAAUCAUUUUGAGCAAACUCACCUUUCUAUAGAAGUGGGUAGAUGAGAGACAUGAAGGGAAAGAUUUGUGACCUGACAUCACCAGGAUCUACUCCUUUUACUCAGCUACAUCUGUAAUCAAACACAUGGAUCUCAGGUUGGCCUCCUCACUCACCUCUGAACUCACUGAUGACUCUCCUAUUUACUGGAAGACAAUCACCCUUGUAUCAAGGGACUGCUGCUGCUGAAAAGGGGUGCAAAUUUGGGACUAAAAGGUAAGGAGUAGGAAAUGCUACUGUUCUGAACAAUAUUUACUUCCACAGACCUUUUUGCUGUAAAUUUAGGCGGGUUCUCCAGAAAGCCAUCAAACAAAACAACACUUUCCUAAAUCUAAUCCUUUCUAAUCUAAUGCGCCACAUGUUUCCUUGGUUUCCUAUAUCCAUGUGAAUGAAUCUGAGGGAUUGCUUAGCCCAUAUCAAUCUUUCCUCUGUUCCUUGAGAGUUCCACUUCUAUUCCACCAGAUUUUCCUCCCAUUUGGUCAGUUCUGUACUGCAUAGUGGAGCUUCUAGCCCCAAGUCUAUGUAACAGUCAAAUCAUUACUAUUGUCAAACUAUAUGAUCCAGGCUGCAACCAGAUAAACUUAAAAAUACUAUUUUAAAUUAUGUAAGUUCAACAUCCUUUCUCUUUUUGUUUCGUUUCCCACUAGGUCCUAAUCAAAUGACUCUUAGUUUGAAGAGGUUAUUUUUGUUUUGUUUCUUGGGGUUUUUUUAGGUUGUGACUCAGAGGUGCUGCUAUUUGAAGAGCCGGUGAGUUUAGCUUAAGCCAGUGGUUCUCAACUUUUUCAUACUUGAGGCAUCCCUCAGAAAAGGCCAGCUCUUUGCUUUCACUCAUUUCUUACUACAGAAAAAAAAUACAGAAGAAUUCUUCUCUUGCAAAGAACUUAAAGACCAAAACAGGCAGAGUGUUUUUGACACUAUGGACUCCUAUUUGAAAUCUCUGGCUGCAUCCAGAUGAGUACAAGCAUUUGAUUCCCUGGGAACAAGAAGCAGGAGAACAUCUUGUGCUGCUGCUGCUUGUCCCUGGGGAACACCCAUGCCAGGUGCCCUCUGGCGUGCAGCAGAUUACCCCGGGUUGGGUAGGGGAGGCUGGGGCCAGCCACUGGCCUUACCUGAGGUUCUGGAGGCCAGGGAAGCUGCAGCCAUGGCCCUCCUGGAGCUUGGAGCCUGGCCAACAGCCAGAGCACAGCUCCAGCAGGCCAGGCUCUGGUUUUGGGUGGUGCACGCUGCAGCCACAUGCGCCACCCCACUUUUAUUCCACAUGGGGGUUUUUUUGACCCUGAGAUCUCCCAGGGUCAACCCCCCCCCCCCCCAAAACAAAAAAAACAAAAAAAACCCAAACCCCCCACACUGCAAGAUAACAGCACAGGAAAUGCCUGAAUGUGCAGUGUGUGGUGCUGCAGAUGGAUCUGCAGUGCCACAUACUGCUCUGGUUGCAGCCUUUGUGUUAAUCUUGUGAAUCAUGUAGAUAUUUGCCUGUUCAAGAGUGCUAAUAUUUUGUAGCUCUCUUAAAAGGAUCUCAUGGCAUCAAGGCUGAGAAUCAUUGUCUUAAACACAUGUGAAGGGACAGCUCCUUCCUCUCGACAGCUCACCACCAUGAUAGUGGGGCACGAAAAAGAGAACAAGUGAGAUCUGUCUCAUUCCUGAGGCAGCUGCUCUUCUCCUCUGUGUGCCUCUAUGAUGAUGGGUUUUUGAACCCGAAAGCUUGCUUAAUAAUUGUUUACCAACUAUUUAAGUUAGUCUAAUAACAGAUAUCAGAUUCACCCAAAGAACCUUGUCUUUCUAUUCAGCAAAGCACUUAAGCAUCAGCUUAAAUCCACUGAUGCUAGCUAGGUAAUAGGAUGCUUUUACCCUAUUAAGAUAUCUCCUAGAAAACCCUGAACUAUUUCAUUUUUUUUUCUUCUUUCCUCUCAGUUUCCAGUAGAGGGAGUGGAGAAUUGUCUGCCUUUUGGUUCCCAAAUUGCUUGUGGCUCAUGUUUUGAGCUUCAGUAACAGAGAUAAAUCUAGAUCAGAGUUUGGAUUUGCUCAGUCAAAAAAUCUUUUAUUUUCAGGUGAUUUUGGCCCAAAGCAUAUGUACUUACAGAUGGGAGGUUCUAAUUUAGGACCAUCACCAAUUUUCAACAAAAAUGAUUUCAAAAUAGUAUUUUACUUGAUUUUUUUAAAAAAAGAUUUGAAAGAGUAACAAAGAUAAGUUAGGAAAGGGAAAGUGAAUUCACUAGCUAGUGAAUGAUUCUCUCAGAAACACCUCCCUUCAGGAAGAAAAAUGUAAAAAGUCUAGAUGCCUGGAAUCAGAAGAUUUGUAUUCUGCUACCUUUUUCUCUCAUCUCUCUGAGGCCAAAUUAUUCCUCCCCCACCCCAUCAAUAAGUUGGAUGAAUAAGUAGCAGUAAAGAAUUGUGGCCAAUGUUAAUUUCACAGCGCAUGUGUACAUGAGAUGCUACUACUGUGCAGUCGUUACUGCACAUUUAUUUAGUACUUGUAUUAGCAAGCUCUAAAUAAAUGCAUAGUAACCAGAGUUACUAUGCAAUAGCACCAGCAAACAUCUUUUAAGUGACACUACUGUGCAGUAGCCUAAUAAUACUCUGCAGUAGCAUAUUAGCACUUUCUGUGCUGUGACAUGCUACUGCACAGUAUUAUUCGACUAAUGCACAGUCAGUGUUUUGUGUACACGUGCCCACAAGGGACCAAAUUUAUACUUGGUGUAACUGCUAUACUGAUUGGCCACAUAAACAUUUUGUGGCAAGGACCAUUUUUCAAUGUGUUCAUACAACACCUACCACAAAGGAUUCUGUCCCCUAACCAGGGCACACAGAUGCUACUUCAAAAUAAAUAAAUAACAGGUUGGUUUUUUUGUGUAAUUCUACUAAUUUUAAAGUACCCCCCAAAUGUGUAGUUUAUCACUUGUGAAUGAGAAGAACUUGACUGUAAAAAUAUAAAUUGUUUUUUCUCUUUAGAGAGAGCAAACUAAAUGCCAUUUUUGCCAUCUAUGUCUAUGAAAACAAACACAAUCAUGCCAGCAGCGAUUCAGUUGCAGUGAUGUUCUUUGGGGCAUGCAGUAUUUACAUAAUACAGAUUCCUGUGAUGAAAAUGAUGAGAUUUUUUCAACAUACAUUGUCAGUAAUGGUCCAUGUUAGCUGAGAUUGGGAUUGUUCUUUGUUCCGUGACUAGGUAGCCUAUGUUGUGCUGAAAAUGCAUUCUGAACAUACACUAGAUGGCAGGCAGAUUGGAUAUAUAAAAGCAAGUGUAGCUGGAUCAUCAUACAUCCUCCUUUUCUGCUUCCAAAAAGAUCAAUUGGUCUUCCUCAGGCCUAUGUAGAAGCAUAUUUGGAUCACUGCACUAGAGUACAUAGUUAACAGACAAGAUGAUCUAGCCCUCUGCCCACAGACACGCCAGGCCACGUUGUUUCUGACAAGAUUGCUUUUGCCUUUUAGCCUGAUCAGUAACAGCUCGAGUUGUAGCAGCUGUUGCUGAGAAUGAGGCUUGUGUUCGAGAAGUGAAUGUGUUAAAGAAGUGCUGUCAGCACCUGAGGCAGACUCUGAUGGCUUGUCUUCAACAGCAGACUCCUGGAUUUGCCCUGCAGGAGAGGAUGGCAGCUUGUCGCAAAAUUUUUGUAACAGAACAUCUUUCCAAUGCUCUACGUGUGCCCAAGGAAGAAAAGAUGCCCUCAACGUUGCCCUUAGAGUAGGGAUUUAGUUAAGUUGCCAGCACACAAAGCAGUGUACAGUCUCAAACAUAUUGAUGUUCCUUCUUGGAUGACUUGGGAGCUCCAGUGACAAAGGGUCAAGUUCAGCUCUGCUCUAAGCUGUUGUGAUACCCAAUUGGCUCAAAAUUCUCUUGUUAGUUUAAUGUAAGUGAUGGCAGUUUUACCUUGUCUUGAUGUCCUCAAGGUUAGUAUAUAUUUGAGAGAAGGUUUGAUAUCACUAUCAAUCUAUACAAGGGUUACAGGUGAGUAUCAAAGGGCUCUAGUAAAUGAUCUUCCUUUUUAGUUUACGUUUGAGUUUAAGGGGUACUGUGAGAAAAAAAUCUCCUUUUGAGUCAACAGACAAAACAGGGAAAGUGGAAGAGAUGGCACUUUAAUGUAGCAAUCACAUGUGCCUUUGAAUGCAAUAGGUUCUUUGGUUUCACAGUAAAGUAGUUAAGUACUCAAUGAGCACUUCAUCUUUGAAUUUCAUCACUAUUGUGCUGCCCAACUAAUUCCCAAUACACAAAAGCAGCCUUGGAGAUAACUGUACCGUCUCAGCCUAUAUUACCUAGCCAGUUAGGUGAUGCUGCUCUCAGAAGUACCUCCUCUUUGUGGACAAUAUCCUAAAUGGUCCCAGGUGAGGUUCUUCAGGGUGGCAGUUGCCUACACUACUGUGAUCAUACAGUAUAAUUAUAUAGUAAACUGGCUCAAUUGCUCUGUUUACAUCUUUCUUUAAAAUAUCAAGGGCUUUGUGACACAACUAACAUUGCAGCUUCUUAAGUUUAAAAAACUUGUUAACUGAAUCAGUAAUAAAAGAGCAGUCGUACUUA